rnacentral:rRNA from 1 species
AUACGGAGGGGGUUAGCGUUGUUCGGAAUUACUGGGCGUAAAGCGCACGUAGGCGGACUGGAAAGUUGGGGGUGAAAUCCCGGGGCUCAACCCCGGAACUGCCUCCAAAACUUCCAAUCUCGAGAUCGAGAGAGGUGAGUGGAAUUCCAAGUGUAGAGGUGAAAUUCGUAGAUAUUUGGAGGAACACCAGUGGCGAAGGCGGCUCACUGGCUCGAUACUGACGCUGAGGUGCGAAAGCGUGGGGAGCAAACAGGAUUAGAAACCCCGGUAGUCC